CUAGAAUGUACAUUUCCUGAAGAAAAUGUGAGUGGUGCUUGCAGUGGCAAAACUCGGCCCUCGGUUGCUUAGGUCUUUUUAUAGAGUUCAUAGCCUGAUUUAUCUCUUAGCUAAUCACUAUUAGCAUGUAGCUAUUCACUGCUAGCAUGACUAGCAUGUUGGAAUUCCAGUUUGCUAGCAUGAGUCAAAAGAGCCAACCGCCAUGUCUUUACGAUGUUCUGAUUCAGAGAUAUAGGUCUUGCAAAACGGUUGCUAGGGUACUCUGUUUGGUUGCUAGGGAGUGGCCUGACAGCUCCCAAUGACGAUACUCCAAAGGCUGCUUUCCAGUAUGAAUGAUAUAAACCAACCCCCAUGCCUUUAUGAUAUUCAGAUUUGAAGAUAUCCCUCUAUGCUUUGGGUUGCUAGGGUGCUCUAAAUGGUUGCUAGGGCGUGGCUAUGAAGUCUUGAAGGUGAUUCCUGAUUGGUCGUUUGCUGCCCCGAGUCAAACGAGCCCACCCUCAUGUUUCUAUGACACUUCUAUCCAAAGAUAUUAAUUUGAUCUUUUUCAAUGGAAGUCUAUGGAGCUUGUUACUAAGGGGCCCUAAAUGGUUGCUAGGGCGUGGCUUGACUGCUUCACAAUGAUCCUGAUAGACUGAUUGGUUGUCUGAGUAAAAUGAGCCCACCCCCAUGUCUCUAUGACAUUGUGAUCCAGAGUUAUGUUCAAUGCAAAACUCC
ensembl:lncRNA